rnacentral:lncRNA from 1 species
UGCAUUCAAAGUCCAUGUUUUUUUGAUUAAAACUUUCCAUAACAAUUUCAAAUUCCAUCAAACAUCCAUUCAACCUUGCAUUAUUACAUUCAACCAUUCAUUGCAAUUCAUUAACUUUCCAUAAAAAUCCAUUUUUCAAUUCAUUACAAACUAAUCCAUGUUUAUGUUUCCGAUUCAUGAUUUAUUCCCAUUUAAGUUACAAACUUCAAUACAAAAUUACAGAUUUUCAAACUAAUUUCCAAUCAUAAGCUACAUGAAGCAAAUCUCAAAAACUACAAUGACCCAUCCCAAAUUAGUGCUUUCACACAUCACUAAUUAACUUAAACCCUUGAGCAUAAGAUACCAAAGAUCACUUGAUUAACAUAAUGUACUAAGUUUAAUUUGAAGCAGCCUAGUCCUAUUAACUUAAUUACAGUAGCAGCUCUAAGAAUCUGAAGAGAUAACAGGGCCUUGCAUAAGCCUUCCCAUCAUCCUGCAGAAUUAACACAACAAGAUCAGUAAUUAACAUACAUCAACAUAACUAACUUUUGAUUCAAUUUCCAAACCAAUAUCUAGACCAACCAUAACUAACAUGAUCUAGCAGUAGGGUAUUUCAACAUAACUAACAUAGAACCCUGCAUAAUUUAGAGCUAAACAUUACACAAGGUUUCAUGUAAUAACAAUUGGGAAGUCCAUAGUAAUUAGCAAAGCACGACAACACAGAGAAUAAAAAACUCACUAACUGAAUUUCAACUUGUUAACAAAUUUUAAUUUUUAACAAACUAAUGAAUUUCGUUUGUGUGCUCGCCUUUGAAUCUUGAUUUGAGAAGGUGAGAAGAAGAGAGUGUGUGGAGACGUCGAACAAGCUUGCUGAAGUGUUGUUGGUUGCACGAUUCGACCUGGAUUUGGUAUGGAUGCAUAGACCAAAACCUGAACUCAGUUUUUGAACCGCUUGCUUUGUUUGAGGUCUGACUCUAUUUGGGCCUAAGGCCCAAACAAACCCUCCCA